rnacentral:rRNA from 1 species
UACGUAGGGUGCAAGCGUUAAUCGGAAUUACUGGGCGUAAAGGGCGCGUAGGCGGUAGCACAAGUCAGUUGUGAAAUCUCCGGGCUUAACUCGGAAAGGUCAACUGAUACUGUGCGACUAGAGUGCAGAAGGGGCAACUGGAAUUGCUGGUGUAGCGGUGAAAUGCGUAGAGAUCAGCAGGAACACCCGUGGCGAAGGCGGCCCCCUGGGCCGUACCUGACGCUGAGGCGCGAAGGCUAGGGGAGCGAACGGG